AAAAAUUGGCCUUUUGGCUAAGAUCAACUGUAGUAUCUGUUCUUAUUAGUUUAAUAUCUGAUAGGUCCUCUAUCUAGGGACAUUAUUUAAAUGUAUUUAUGGAACAGGGAGAUGGAAUAGGAGCUUGCUCUGUCCACUCCACGCAUCAACCUGGUAUUGCAUUACCUCCGGGAACGAUGCACCAGAA